GACAAAGUAUUAAGGCGGUUUACGGAGAUACUCGACCCUUGUGAUCGAGUAGAGAGGUUGAAUAAAGUUGGCGCCUUUGCGAUUUCUUGCUCUGGGCAUGUUGUGAUCGAGCACUUGGGUCCAGUAUGUGCUCGAGUUCUGCUUCAUCUUCUUUUCUUCCUUAUGCUCAAUGUCUGGUUGAGUUGGGAUCUGAGAAGACUCUGAAGCUUAUGAUCAAGUGGCUGCGGGGAGGUGGUGAUCGAGUGUCUGGUCGAGUGAUCUGAGGGAAGCUUGCUGG
rnacentral:lncRNA from 1 species